AUGGUGCGAUGGAGCAUCACUCCCCGGUUAGCCAUCGAGGUUGAUCACUGGGCGAUGAUUCUGCAGGUGUUUGAGGCCGACAUGGAAAAGAAAGAAUGGUCAGAGGUGAAGGACUUAGGUGGCCAGGUCCUCUUUGUUGGAGGGUCUGGAUCCAGAGCGCUUGCAGCGGUAGAUUCGCCCGAGGACUACAACUACAACGAUCAGAGAAUCCGAGGAGGGAACCGCGUGUUUCUUCUCGGUAAUGAUUGGGCACGUGUGUGGAGCGCCGUCUCCCGAUGCAAGUGUUGUGACUGCCAAAAGCUCGUCAAUGGAAUGCCCAACUAUUGUAUGUACGACAUGGUGAGUGGCAGAGCUAGCCUAGUUUCACUAAAGGAACACCACAACCCGAUGAGGUAUUGUAGGUCGGAAUGGUUCUUCCCCCCCGGAGUAAAACCCAGGAUUUUUAGUGAUUAUUAG
rnacentral:rRNA from 1 species